rnacentral:rRNA from 1 species
UACGGGGGGAGCAAGCGUUGUUCGGAUUUACUGGGCGUAAAGAGCUCGUAGGCGGCUUGUCGCGUCGACUGUGAAAACCCGUGGCUCAACACGGGCCUGCAUCCGAUACUGGCGGGCUCGAGGCAGGCAGGGGAGAUCGGAAUUCCUGGUGUAGCGGUGAAAUGCGCAGAUAUCAGGAGGAACACCGUGGCGAAGGCGGAUCUCUGGGCCUGUCCUGACGCUCAGGCGCGAAAGCUAGGGGAGCAAACAGG